CCUACGGGAGGCAGCAGUAGGGAAUUUUCCACAAUGGGGGCAACCCUGAUGGAGCAACGCCGCGUGCAGGAUGAAGGCCUUCGGGUUGUAAACUGCUUUUAUUGGUGACGAUUAUGACGGUAGCCAAUGAAUAAGGACCUGCUAACUACGUGCCAGCAGCCGCGGUCAUACGUAGGGUCCAAGCGUUAUCCGGAAUUACUGGGCGUAAAGAGUUGCGUAGGUGGCAUGGAAAGCAGAUAGUGAAAGCGUGUGGCUCAACCAUACAUCCAUUAUCUGAACUCCCAAGCUAGAGGAUGAGAGAGGUAGAUGGAAUUCCUGAUGUAGGGGUAAUAUCCGUAGAUAUCAGGAGGAACACCGAUGGCGUAGGCAGUCUACUGGCUCAUUCCUGACACUAAGGCACGAAAGCGUGGGGAGCAAACAGGAUUAGAUACCCUUGUAGU
rnacentral:rRNA from 1 species